AACGAACGCUGGCGGCAGGCUUAACACAUGCAAGUCGAGCGCCCCGCAAGGGGAGCGGCAGACGGGUGAGUAACGCGUGGGAAUCUACCGUGCCCUACGGAAUAGCUCCGGGAAACUGGAAUUAAUACCGUAUACGCCCUACGGGGGAAAGAUUUAUCGGGGUAUGAUGAGCCCGCGUUGGAUUAGCUAGUUGGUGGGGUAAAGGCCUACCAAGGCGACGAUCCAUAGCUGGUCUGAGAGGAUGAUCAGCCACAUUGGGACUGAGACACGGCCCAAACUCCUACGGGAGGCAGCAGUGGGGAAUAUUGGACAAUGGGCGCAAGCCUGAUCCAGCCAUGCCGCGUGAGUGAUGAAGGUCUUAGGAUUGUAAAGCUCUUUCACCGGUGAAGAUAAUGACGUAACCGGAGAAGAGCCCC
rnacentral:rRNA from 1 species